AUGCACGCUGGCGGCGUGCCUCAUACAUGCAAGUCGAGCGAACAGACGAGGAGCUUGCUCCUCUGACGUUAGCGGCGGACGGGUGAGUAACACGUGGAUAACCUACCUAUAAGACUGGGAUAACUUCGGGAAACCGGAGCUAAUACCGGAUAAUAUAUUGAACCGCAUGGUUCAAUAGUGAAAGACGGUUUUGCUGUCACUUAUAGAUGGAUCCGCGCCGCAUUAGCUAGUUGGUAAGGUAACGGCUUACCAAGGCGACGAUGCGUAGCCGACCUGAGAGGGUGGUCGGCCAAACUGGAACUGAGACACGGUCCAGACUCCUACGGGAGGCAGCAGUAGGGAAUCUGCCGCAAUGGUCGAAAGCCUGACGGAGCAACGUCGCGGGAGUGAUGAAGUGCUUCGGAUCGUAAAACUCUGUUAUUAGGGAAGAACAAAUGUGUAAGUAACUAUGCACGUCUUGACGGUACCUAAUCAGAAAGCCACGGCUAACUACGUG
rnacentral:rRNA from 1 species